GCCGUCAGCAGCGCGUAGUUUGUGGCGCUCCACUACUACUUCCUGGAGGCUGGGUGGUGGAUCGCCUGAGGCCGGCGCGCUGUGUGUGCUAUGACGAUCGGGCGACUCGCUAAGUUCGGCAUUGAUAAGGUUACCCCGGGAGUCUACAGGUCGUUCUGUUAAAAGAGGGACACACCGACCCAGGUUGGAAACAACGCAGGUAAAAGUCCCCGUGUCGAUCCGAGGAGCAGGAUCGCGCCCGUGAAUAGGCGUCUCAGCCCGACCAGCAUAGUGGGACCCAACUAUUU
rnacentral:SRP_RNA from 1 species